rnacentral:rRNA from 1 species
UUAUCGUUUAUUUGAUAGUACCUUACUACUUGGAUAACCGUGGUAAUUCUAGAGCUAAUACAUGCUGAAAAUCCCGACUCCGGAAGGGAUGUAUUUAUUAGAUUCAAAGCCAAUGCCCCCCGGGCUCACUGGUGAUUCAUGAUAACUGCUCGAAUCGCACGGCCUUGCGCCGGCGAUGGUUCAUUCAAAUUUCUUCCCUAUCAACUUUCGAUGUUUGGGUAGUGGCCAAACAUGGUUGCAACGGGUAACGGAGGGUUAGGGCUCGACCCCGGAGAAGGAGCCUGAGAAACGGCUACUACAUCCAAGGAAGGCAGCAGGCGCGCAAAUUACCCAAUCCCGACACGGGGAGGUAGUGACAAUAAAUACUGAUACAGGGCUCUUUUGGGUCUUGUAAUUGGAAUGAGUACAAUUUAAAUCCCUUAACGAGGAACAAUUGGAGGGCAAGUCUGGUGCCAGCAGCCGCGGUAAUUCCAGCUCCAAUAGCGUAUAUUAAAGUUGUUGUGGUUAAAAAGCUCGUAGUUGAACCUUGGGCCUGGCUGGUCGGUCCGCCUCACCGCGUGCACUGGUCCGGCCGG